rnacentral:rRNA from 1 species
CGGCCGCAGUACCCUGACUGUGCUAAGGUAGCAUAAUAAUUUGGCCUUUAAUUGGGGUCUGGUAUAAAAGGUAUAAUGGGGGAAAACUGUCUAUUACUUAUUGGGUGAAAAUUCCCAAAUAUACUUAUAAGACGAGAAGACCCUUAGAAUUAUGUUUUUGUUGGGGCAACAAUAUCAGAAGAAAUGAUGUUUAGUCUAUCUAAAAGACUUAAUUACCUAAGGGAUAACAGCAUAAUUUCUAUUUAAGAUUGUGACCUCGAUGUUGGACUGGGGACUUUGUCUGUUAG